AGCCUUGUAGCUCAACUGGUAGAGCGUGCGCGUACAAAGUAUGGGUGGCGACCAUGCAUGGGUUCGAAUCCCACCGAGGAUA
rnacentral:tRNA from 1 species